GACGAACGCUGGCGGCGUGCUUAACACAUGCAAGUCGAACGGAAAGGCCCGGCUUUUGUGGGGUGCUCGAGUGGCAAACGGGAGAGUAACACGUGAGUAGCCUGCCCUAGACCUUGGGAUAACUUCAGGAAACGGGGGCUAAUACCGGAUAGGAGCUCCUGCUGCAUGGUUUGGGUGGUAGGGGUUGGGGGCGCGGCUUAGCAGCUAGAUGGUGGGGUAAUGGCUUACGCAGGCUGUGACGGGAAGCCGGCCUGGGCGGGUGACCGGCGACAUUGGGACUGAGAUACGGCCCAGACUCCUGCGGGAGGCAGCAGUGGGGAAUAUUGCACAAUGGGCUGAAGCCUGAUGCAGCCGCGCCGCGUGCGGGAUGUCGGCCUUCGGGUUGUAAACCGCUUUCGCCUGUGACGAAGCGUGAGUGACGGUAAUGGGUAUAGAAGCACCGGCUAACUACGUG
rnacentral:rRNA from 1 species